CACCCCCUGCUGAGACAGCCUGGUGGGGACUGUGGUGCCCAGAGUAGGCCCUGCAGGUGGGGUCCCCGGCCCCUGGAGUGGACAACAGAGUCCCCGGGUCACCCCGACUUCAGCUGCAUGGGGGUCCUUGGUGCUCCCUCAGGAGGGAGGGCCCCUCAUGCCAGUGACCCAGAACCUCCCUCCCUCCUGAGGGAGGGAGGACGCCCCGGCAGAGGCUGUCUGUGGGAGAGGGCCGCUUGGGGAUCUCUGGCCCGGCGAGUACCAGCUGGCCAGUCUCCUGGGACUCCCACACAAGCAAGCCUGCCGAGGGGUCUCCAGAGGCCCUAGGAGGUCCCGCGUGUCCCAGCUCAGGAGAAGAGGACAGUGGGGUGGGUAGAGCUGGGCUAGGAGGAGCAUUUCUGGUUGGUGGAAGGUUCUGGAACAAGUCUGGUAGCAUCCAGCCCACUCCAGAGCAAAGCUGCUGUGGGGAGUGGGCCUGCAGAGGCGGAGGGCAGGUGCAGCAGGAGUCGCUGGGUGGAGCAGGGAGCCUCUUUCUGCAGCAGGAGGCACUCAGUGGGUGACACCGGCUGGAUUAGAGAAGUCGGCGUGGAAGCCAGUGUCUCGGGCUGAGUUCUCGGAGAGGAAAUACCAGUGAUGCUUAUACACUCACAGAGGUUCAUCUCCAGGAAACGCUCCACAUGGUUGCAGAAACUGAUCUCACCUGAACAAGAGAGUCCAUUCCGAAUAGUCUACAAUGAAGAAAAGGAGUCAGGGACCUUCGUGAUUUCCAAAGCAGUGAAAAACUGGCUUUCCGCCGUCCUCCUUUAAGCAGCACCUCUCUCCUAGCACCUCUCUCCUCGGUGGUGCUUGAUCCUGGUAAGGGCUGUAGCUCAACAAUGAACCACUGAAGCGAG